CAGUAGCCGCGGUAAUACGUAGGGUGCGAGCGUUAAUCGGAAUUACUGGGCGUAAAGCGUGCGCAGGCGGUUGUGUAAGCCAGGUGUGAAAUCCCCGGGCUUAACCUGGGAACUGCGCUUGUGACUGCACAGCUAGAGUAUGGCAGAGGGGGGUGGAAUUCCACGUGUAGCAGUGAAAUGCGUAGAGAUGUGGAGGAACACCGAUGGCGAAGGCAGCCCCCUGGGCCAAUACUGACGCUCAUGCACGAAAGCGUGGGGAGCAAACAGGAUUAGAUACCCAGGUAGUCCCUGUCUCUUAUAC
rnacentral:rRNA from 1 species